ACAUGCAAGUCGAGCGGUAACAUUUCUAGCUUGCUAGAAGAUGACGAGCGGCGGACGGGUGAGUAACGCGUAGGAAUCUGCCUAGUAGUGGGGGACAACAUGUGGAAACGCAUGCUAAUACCGCAUACGCCCUACGGGGGAAAGGAGGGGAUCUUCGGACCUUUCGCUAUUAGAUGAGCCUGCGUGAGAUUAGCUAGUUGGUGGGGUAAAGGCCUACCAAGGCGACGAUCUCUAGCUGGUCUGAGAGGAUGAUCAGCCACACUGGGACUGAGACACGGCCCAGACUCCUACGGGAGGCAGCAGUGGGGAAUAUUGGACAAUGGGCGCAAGCCUGAUCCAGCCAUGCCGCGUGUGUGAAGAAGGCCUUAGGGUUGUAAAGCACUUUCAGGAGUGAGGAAGGGCGUAUAGUUAAUACCUGUAUGUUUUGACGUUAACUCCAGAAGAAGCACCGGCUAACUCUGUGCCAGCAGCCGCGGUAAUACAGAGGGUGCGAGCGUUAAUCGGAAUUACUGGGCGUAAAGCGCGCGUANGCGGUUUGUUAAGUCGGAUGUGAAAUCCC
rnacentral:rRNA from 1 species